UACGUAGGGGCCUAGCGUUGUCCGGAAUUAUUGGGCGUAAAGAGCUCGUAGGCGGUUCGGCAAGUCGGAUGUGAAAUCUCCACGCUUAACGUGGAGGGGCCAUUCGAAACUGCUGUGACUCGAGUCCGGUAGGGGAGUGUGGAAUUCCCGGUGUAGCGGUGAAAUGCGUAGAUAUCUGGAGGAACACCGGUGGCGAAGGCGGCAUCCUGGACCAAUUCUGACGCUGAGGAGCGAAAAGCCAGGGGGAGCAAACGGG
rnacentral:rRNA from 1 species